AAGCGCUUAGAGUUAGCCAUGCGGCCGGAACUCAGCCUUCGGGUGUACUUUCCGGUCGCAAGCCAGCAUUGAUUUGUGCCGCUGGAGAAGGGCGCUGGGAAUGUGGCAUCUCCGGGUGUGUUAUAGCCCAGUGCUGGAUACAGCGGCGCGGAUCAAGGAACGCAGCACGCCUCAUGGCGGGUCUUCGGACACCUUCGUGCUUAGGAUGCUGGCGUAAUGGCUCUAAGCGG
rnacentral:rRNA from 1 species